ACGCACCAAACCCACUCAGCAUAAUAUGCGGCGAUGGCCGAAAAUGCUGAGCCGCCCUCAAUGCUUGAUUGCAGACUAAUCCCACAGAAAGACAGCAACACCGACUACAAUCUCCCUUUGAGCAAUGGCUGCAGUGCACAGCAGUGACCUCAUCACCUCAACCCCCUCCUGAGCAAGCUUUGAAACCUGAGAAAGCAGUUCUGACCUUUGGCAUUCUGCCUCCCACCUCUCAUGGCAAGAAGAAGCCCACCCCGUCCUUGUUUCUUCCCCCAUUUCGGACAGGAUGUGACCUACGAGGAGUGCUCUGUAGGAGGGCCUUGACCCCAGACACUGUCCAGACUACGUGUCUGGACCCACCAAGGCCUGCUGGGGCUGACAUCAAGACCUGAUAACGAGAUGUAUAAGGACUCAGUUCAAAACAGUCAGAUAUUCUCGAUCAAAAACAGCGGUGGGGGUUACACACAGUGAUGGGAGUCAUUUCUUUGGGUGUGCACACCUUUUGCUACCUCAAAAAUGCUUCCCAAUGCCAUUUUUGAAUCUUCGUGCACUCACUCGGCAUGUAUUGUACUACUCCUCUCUCUGUGACUUUGGUUUCCACUUUCCAGACAUUAGCUUUCCUACGGAUGUCCAUUUUUUUCUGACCAAUAAAAUGUAUCCUGCUAGCAUUUUGGAAUGAUCGGCAAUUCCAGGCAUUGAGUUGACAUGUUUUACUCCACCUCUCUGUGUAACUUGGGUGUCUGUUUAAGUCCCGCCUUCCUGUUCGUUUUGAUUUAGAGCAAUAUUCAUCUGGAAGAUGUGCCGGUUUCUGUAUUCAUGUCUGCACUUAGUUAAACAUGAGUUAUGCCAGUCUUGUUCUAAGGGUCUCGGUUAUAUGUCUCUGUCGUUUGCCCGCCUUAUCAUGCAAUAUUUGGUCAUGCUAUGAUGCAGAGAAGUUCUACACCACUGCAAACUACAACCACAAUAAUGAACAUUGCUUUUCACUUGUUCUCAUCCCACAGUCUUUGUUUAGACAUUCUGAAUGUGUGCAGUCACUCCCAGUGAAGUUUACAAGCAAAUGUCUUUCAUUUGCUGUUACCAGUAUUCUCUGGUUGGUUUCCCAAAAUGUCUUUGGUGCUUUUGAUAAGCUUUCACUGUUCACGCUUCUUUCUUUUGCGGGUUUUCAGGAUAUCCGCCAAGAGACAGUCAGCAAAGCUGUGUUGUAAAGAACGCAAAAAAAAGAAUCUUCAGGACAUCCGCCAACAGAGCGUCCAUAAAGCUGCGUUGUGAAGAAUGCAAAAAAAGAACGCCAGUGCAAUGUCUCUGAUGUACGAUGACUAUGUUCCAGACAUCAUACGCAUCAUCCACAGUAAGGUCAGUGAUUCUCACAUUGUGGUACCACUUGUUUAAGCGGGCUCCCUCGAGUGGUACAUGAAACAAUCACUGAUCAAUUUCAGUUCAGUUGUCUUUAACUUUUAAGUACAAUACAUUUGCAUGUAAUCUAUAAGAACUGCACCGUGUUAAUUGUUCAAAUUAACCAUAAGGGCAAGGUGGCAUUCUAUGAUAUUAAGAUCAAGUUUUUAAAUACAAAUGCUUUGUUUUUGGAUGAACACUAAGGCCUACUAUACUGUUGAUCCGACGGUGGAG